UACAGAGGCCCCAAGCGUUAGUCGGAAUCACUGGGCUUAAAGGGUGCGUAGGCGGGCGUGUAAGUGUCUUGUGAAAGCCCUGGGCUCAACCCAGGAACCGCAGGGCAUACUGCACGUCUAGAGGAAACUAGAGGCCGGCAGAACGAUCGGUGGAGCGGUGGAAUGCGUAGAGAUCGAUCGGAAUGCCAAGGGUGAAGACAGCCGGCUGGGGUUUUCCUGACGCUGAGGCACGAAAGCGUGGGGAUCAAACAGG
rnacentral:rRNA from 1 species